rfam:Gallus gallus isolate RJF #256 breed Red Jungle fowl, inbred line TCD001 chromosome 27, whole genome shotgun sequence.
CAUGGCUUGGCUGUACCAUCUUAGCCCCCUCCUAAGGGGGGCUAAGAUGGUACAGCGGAGAGUCAUC